rnacentral:rRNA from 1 species
CCUACGGGAGGCAGCAGUGGGGAAUAUUGCACAAUGGGGGAAACCCUGAUGCAGCAACGCCGCGUGAGUGAAGAAGUAUUUCGGUAUGGAAAGCUCCAUCAGCAGGGAAGAAGAUGACGGUACCUGAGUAAGAAGCGCCGGCUAACUACGUGCCAGCAGCCGCGGUAAUACGUAGGGGGCAAGCGGUAUCCGGAUUUACUGGGUGUAAAGGGAGCGCAGACGGUGAGACAAGUCUGAAGGGAAAGCACGGGGCUCAACCCCGGGACUGCUGUGGAAACUGCCUGACUGGAGUGCUGGAGAGGCAAGCGGAAUUCGUAGUGUAGCGGUGAAAUGCAUAGAUAUUACGAAGAACACCGAUGGCGAAGGCAGCUUGCUGGACAGUAACUGACGUUGAGGCUCGAAAGCGUGGGGAGCGAACAGGAUUAGAUACCCCUGUAGUC